rnacentral:siRNA from 1 species
UGGCAUGAAAAUAUGUUACUGAUG